rnacentral:rRNA from 1 species
UGGCGGCAUGCUUUACACAUGCAAGUCGGACGGCAGCGGGGGUGCUUGCACCUGCCGGCGAGUGGCGAACGGGUGAGUAACAUAUUGGAAUGUACCGAGUAGUGGGGGAUAACCAAUCGAAAGAUUGGCUAAUACCGCAUACGUCCUGAGGGGGAAAGCAGGGGAUCUUCGGACCUUGCGCUAUUUGAGCAGCCAAUAUCUGAUUAGCUAGUUGGUGGGGUAAGGGCCCACCAAGGCGACGAUCAGUAGCGGGUCUGAGAGGAUGAUCCGCCACACUGGGACUGAGACACGGCCCAGACUCCUACGGGAGGCAGCAGUGGGGAAUUUUGGACAAUGGGGGCAACCCUGAUCCAGCCAUGCCGCGUGUCUGAAGAAGGCCUUCGGGUUGUAAAGGACUUUUGUUAGGGAAGAAAAGGAAAGUGUUAAUACCACUUUUUGCUGACGGUACCUAAAGAAUAAGCACCGGCUAACUACGUGCCAGCAGCCGCGGUAAUACGUAGGGUGCGAGCGUUAAUCGGAAUUACUGGGCGUAAAGCGAGCGCAGACGGUUACUUAAGCAGGAUGUGAAAUCCCCGGGCUCAACCUGGGAACUGCGUUCUGAACUGGGUAGCUAGAGUAUGUC